rnacentral:rRNA from 1 species
GACGAACGCUGGCGGCGUGCUUAACACAUGCAAGUCGAACGGAAAGGCCCUGCUUUUGUGGGGUGCUCGAGUGGCGAACGGGUGAGUAACACGUGAGUAACCUGCCCUUGACUUUGGGAUAACUUCAGGAAACUGGGGCUAAUACCGGAUAGGAUCUCCUGCUGCAUGGUGGGGGUUGGAAAGUUUCGGCGGUUGGGGAUGGACUCGCGGCUUAUCAGCUUGUUGGUGGGGUAGUGGCUUACCAAGGCUUUGACGGGUAGCCGGACUGAGAGGGUGACCGGCCAAAUUGGGACUGAGAUACGGCCCAGACUCCAACGGGAGGCAGCAGUGGGGAAUAUUGCACAAUGGGAGGAAGCAUGAUGCAGAAACGCCGCGUGCGGGAUGACGGCCUUCGGGUUGUAAACCGAUUUCGCCUGUGACGAAGAGUGAGUGACGGUAAUGGGUAAAGAAGCACCGGCUAACUACGUG